UCGAACCGUUUUAGAAACAUCAGUGGCCAACGAUCGUCAGGAUUGUUGAGCUGCAUUGGCGGGAUUUCGCCGUCUACGUUUCUCUUUCUUCGCGGACGAACACGCGCCAGGGGCUUAGCGCUUGUGCGAUGCAUCUGGCGUGAGCCGGCUGCGCGCCAUUGCAGCCCCUCGUGUUAGGGGCUUGUAGCUCAGUUGGUUAGAGCGCGCGCUUGAUAAGCGUGAGGUCGGAAGUUCAAGUCUUCCCAGGCCCACCACUUUGAUCGAGCGCACUACGUCUCAAUAAUCGACGUAAAGCAUUCGUCUUCUGGUACGGGGCCAUAGCUCAGCUGGGAGAGCGCGUGCUUUGCAAGCAUGAGGUCGUCGGUUCGAUCCCGUCUGGCUCCACCAGAUGGAAUUGAAGAUCGACAAAGUGCCCUGCUAACAAGGCGCCUUUCAUAUCGUCCGCGAAACAUCACUUCGCACGCAUUGUCCGGAUGGACAGUGACGUGCGUGAUAUCUGACAUCGUAAAGAGGAGAUCGAUCCGAGUUUGGGAUCUGCAAAGCAAUUUGCGGGCUCUCAUUCCUAAUCUCCAGAUCAUUUCGGCGCUCGCUCAUCGCAACUCAUCGCAAGAUGAGUGAGAUGACUGAGUUGUGAAUGAUCUUUGUAGCGAAGCUUGACCGCCUCGCUAUCGGUUCGAUCUUACGAAGCAAGCUGGUCUUUCUAAUCAGUGUCCAGCCGCAUGCAGCAUUCAUCGAGGGUGCGCGCCUUUUGACUUCGGUCUUGAGGCAAGUGUGCGGACAACAUUCUGCCGAGUGUGUGGACAUUGAUAAUGAGAGCAAUCAAGUGCCUUAAGGGUGUUCGGUGGAUGCCUUGGCGCUGAGAGGCGAUGAAGGACGUGCUACGCUGCGAUAAGCCGU
rnacentral:misc_RNA from 1 species